GAUUAUAGCUCAGGAUGAACGCUGGCGGUGUGCCUAAUACAUGCAAGUCGAUCGGGCGUAGCAAUACGUCAGAGGCGUACGGGUGAGUAACACGUAGGUAACCUACCUUUAAGACUGGGAUACCCAGACGAAAGUUUGGCUAAUACCGGAUAACAACAUUUGAGACAUCUCUUUUGUUUGAAAGGCGCUGCAAGGCGCCACUUUUUAGAUGGACCUGCGUCGCAUUAGCUAGUUGGUGAGAUAAAAGCCCACCAAGGCUGGGAUGCGUAGCCGAUCUGAGAGGAUGACCGGCCACAAUGGGACUGAGACACGGCCCAUACUCCUACGGGAGGCAGCAGUAGGGAGUUUUCGGCAAUGGGGGAAACCCUGACCGAGCAACACCGCGUGAGUGAUGAAGGUCCUUCGGAUCGUAAAGCUCUGUUACGAGGGACGAAUGAUCGCUUUAGGAAAUGAGAGCGGUUUGACGGUACCUCGCCAGAAAGCGACGGCUAACUACGUGCCAGCAGCUGC
rnacentral:rRNA from 1 species